rnacentral:tRNA from 1 species
GCGGAUGUGGCGGAACUGGUAGACGCACCAGAUUUAGGNNGCGUGGAGGUUCGAGUCCUCUCAUCCGCACCA